CGGACGAACGCUUGGCGGCGUGGAUUAGGCAUGCAAGUCGGACGGUAGGGCUUUAUCGUAAGAUAGAGUUUGAGAGUGGCGAACGGGUGAGUAACACGUAGGAAUCUACCCUUAAGACGGGGACAACCCAGGGAAACUUGGGCUAAUACCGGAUGAGAGUGCGAGAGAUUGCAUUUAAAAGGAUGGCGAAAGUUGUCGCUUAGGGAUGAGCCUGCGGUCUAUUAGUUAGUUGGUGAGGUAAGAGCUCACCAAGGCGAUGAUAGAUAGGCGGCCUUAACGGGUGGUCGCCCACACUGGGAUUGAGAUACGGCCCAGACUCCUACGGGAGGCAGCAGUGGGGAAUAUUGGGCAAUGGGCGAAAGCCUGACCCAGCGACGCCGCGUGAAGGAUGAAGGUCUUCGGAUUGUAAACUUCUUUGAUCAGGGAAGAAAGAAAUGACGGUACCUGAAAAACAAGCCACGGCUAACUACGUG
rnacentral:rRNA from 1 species